rnacentral:rRNA from 1 species
UACGAAGGGUGCAAGCGUUACUCGGAUUUACUGGGCGUAAAGCGUCCGCAGGCUGUUUAGUUAGUUUGGUGUGAAAGCCCACUGCUCAAAGGUGGAAGUGCAUUGAAUACUGCUAGACUAGAGUAUAGGAGGGGAGAAUGGAAUUCCUGGUGUAGAGGUGAAAUUCGUAGAUAUCAGGAGGAACAACGGAAGCGAAGGCGAUUCUCUGGACUAUUACUGACGCUCAUGGACGAAAGUGUGGGGAGCAAACAGA